rnacentral:rRNA from 1 species
AUGUUUGACAAGACUCAUGUGAUGGUUGCAACUUCUGCGAUCCUAGGUGAGCAUAUAGAAGACCCCACUGAUCUCUUUGAGGUUGAGGUUGGCAACAAUUAUCUGGAACUGGAAGACAACAGUGAUUUGGAAAGCAACAAGGCACCUGGCCAGAAAACAAAGGAGGUUGAAAAGCAGAGGGUUGCUGCCAUUGCUGCUAGUCCAAAGAAGAAACGAAAGCAACAAAAGAACCCUACCGUUCAGGAGUGCAGGCAUGUUGCAAACAUAAUGGCUGGUAGCACUUCGGUGACAUCUUCUACUGAUGUUCCAAGAGGCCAUGGGAUUAAAGACGUCAUCAAGUUGGCUGUGCAAUCUGGGGCGAAGGAAUGCAGCGAUCUGUUCUUCACGGCCACCAAGCUUUUCAUGAAUGUGGACUAUAGAGAGAUGUUUAGUGCUUUGGAGACCAAUUAA